rnacentral:rRNA from 1 species
UAAAGCGUGCGCAGGCGGUUAUGUAAGACAGAUGUGAAAUCCCCGGGCUCAACCUGGGAACUGCAUUUGUGACUGCAUGGCUAGAGUACGGUAGAGGGGGAUGGAAUUCCGCGUGUAGCAGUGAAAUGCGCAGAUAUGCGGAGGAACACCGAUGGCGAAGGCAAUCCCCUGGACCUGUACUGACGCUCAUGCACGAAAGCGUGGGGAGCAAACAGGAUUAGAUACCCAGU